rnacentral:ribozyme from 1 species
GGCUCUCUAUGGUGGUCGCCUUCUCGUGGCGAGAGUCGUAAUUACCUCCGGCACAACUGCGAGCCCUUACAAGGCUGGCAGGGACUGUCGGAGCGAAACCAAGAAUCAC